UACGUAGGGUGCAAGCGUUGUUCGGAAUUAUUGGGCGUAAAGGGCGCGUAGGCGGUGCGGUAAGUCUGUAGUGAAAUCUCUGGGCUCAACUCAGAGUCUGCUGCAGAAACUGCCGUGCUUGAGUGUGGGAGAGGUGAGUGGAAUUCCCGGUGUAGCGGUGAAAUGCGUAGAGAUGCGGAGGAACACCGAUGGCGAAGGCAGCCCCCUGGGCUGACACUGACGCUCAGGCACGAAAGCAUGGGGAGCGAACGGG
rnacentral:rRNA from 1 species